rnacentral:rRNA from 1 species
AUUGAACGCUGGCGGCAGGCCUAACACAUGCAAGUCGAGCGGAUGAAGAGAGCUUGCUCUCUGAUUCAGCGGCGGACGGGUGAGUAAUGCCUAGGAAUCUGCCUGGUAGUGGGGGACAACGUUUCGACAGGAACGCUAAUACCGCAUACGUCCUACGGGAGAAAGUGGGGGAUCUUCGGACCUCACGCUAUCAGAUGAGCCUAGGUACGAUUAGCUAGUUGGUGAGGUAAAGGCUCACCAAGGCGACGAUCGUUAACUGGUCUGAGAGGAUGAUCAGUCACACUGGAACUGAGACACGGUCCAGACUCCUACGGGAGGCAGCAGUGGGGAAUAUUGGACAAUGGGCGAAAGCCUGAUCCAGCCAUGCCGCGUGUGUGAAGAAGGUCUUCGGAUUGUAAAGCACUUUAAGUUGGGAGGAAGGGCAGUAAGUUAAUACCUUGCUGUUUUGACGUUACCGACAGAAUAAGCACCGGCUAACUUCGUGCCAGCCGCCGCUGUAAGAC